rnacentral:rRNA from 1 species
AUUGAACGCUGGCGGAAUGCUUUACACAUGCAAGUCGAACGGUAGAGGGGGCAACCCCUCGAGAGUGGCGAACGGGUGAGUAAUAUAUCGGAACGUGCCCAGUCGUGGGGGAUAACGUAGCGAAAGUUACGCUAAUACCGCAUACGAUCUAAGGAUAAAAGCGGGGGAUCGCAAGACCUCGCGCGAUUGGAGCGGCCGAUAUCAGAUUAGGUAGUUGGUGGGGUAAAGGCUCACCAAGCCAACGAUCUGUAGCUGGUCUGAGAGGACGACCAGCCACACUGGAACUGAGACACGGUCCAGACUCCUACGGGAGGCAGCAGUGGGGAAUUUUGGACAAUGGGCGAAAGCCUGAUCCAGCCAUUCCGCGUGCAGGAUGAAGGCCCUCGGGUUGUAAACUGCUUUUGUACAGAACGAAAAGGUUUCUACUAAUACUAGGAGCUCAUGACGGUACUGUAAGAAUAAGCACCGGCUAACUACGUGCCAGCAGCCGCUGUAA